rnacentral:rRNA from 1 species
GCGUCUUAAGCAUGCAAGUCGAACGGCAAGAGGUAGCAAUACCUCCUAGAGUGGCGGACUGGUGAGUAACACGUGGGUGACAUACCCUUCAGGUGGGGGAUAGCUAUUAGAAAUAGUAGAUAAUACCGAAUACGAGCACAGGGGUUAGAGAUCUGUGAGGAAAGGAGCUAAGGCUCCGCUGAAGGAAUGGCCUGCGGCCCAUUAGCUAGUUGGUGAGGUAAGAGCCCACCAAGGCGAUGAUGGGUAUCCGGCCUUAGAGGGUGAACGGACACAUUGGGACUGAGAUACGGCCCAGACUCCUACGGGAGGCAGCAGCUAAGAAUAUUCCGCAAUGGACGAAAGUCUGACGGAGCGACGCCGCGUGGAUGAAGAAAGCCGGAAGGUUGUAAAAUCCUUUUGAAACUGAAGAAUAAGCGUUGUAGGGAAUGACAGCGUGGUGACAGUAGGUUUUGAAUAAGCAACGGCUAAUUACGUGCCAGCAGCCGC